GCCUCCGUGGACUAGCGGUAAAUCGCUUUGGCUUUGUAUCCAAAGGAUGAUGUGGCAUUGCGGGGAGACGUGGGUUCGAGUCCCACCGGAGGCU